rnacentral:rRNA from 1 species
UAGGGAAGCGUCGGCAAUGGACGAAAGUCUGACCGAGCAACGCCGCGUGAGGGAAGAAGGUUGUGGGAUCGUAAAACGAUGGUGUUAGAGAAGAACAAGGACGUUAGGAAGUGAACGUCACCGGACGGGAGCUAACAAGAAAGCCACGGAGAACGACGUGCCAGCAGCCGCGGGAAUACGUAGGUGGCAAGCGGUGUCCGGAUUUAUUGGGAGUAAAGCGAGCGCAGGCGGUUUCUUAAGUCUGAUGUGAAAGCCCCCGGCUCAACCGGGGAGGGUCAUUGGAAACUGGGAGACUUGAGUGCAGAAGAGGAGAGUGGAAUUCCAUGUGUAGCGGUGAAAUGCGUAGAUAUAUGGGGGAACACCAGUGGCGAAGGCGGCUCUCUGGUCUGUAACUGACGCUGAGGCUCGAAAGCGUGGGGAGCAAACAGG